CCCUCUCGUCUCUUCUUCUCAUCGCCAUCUUUGUUUCCUCUCCAAGGCCUGGGACGUUUUUAAAAACGGACGUUGGUGAGAGGAUGUGGACGUUGUGCUGCUGGACCUGGUUCUGAAAAGCUUUUAAUCCAAAGUGGAUUCAAAUGUGGAGCAGCUUCAAGUCUGCGGGCGUCGGCCUGCAGCAGGUUCUGGUCUUUGACCCGGUUUUCGGGGGUCCCUCUGCUCCUCAUUGCCCUUUCCCGUGGCGGGGGCCCCUGCUGAGGGACGAGUCCCGGACCACGUGAGAGAAGCCAGGCGGCCUCCGGACCAGAGACGAGAUGACGAGCAGGCUCUGCAGGGCGGCGGCGGGGUCGUGGGAGCGCAGGCCUCUCUUGGGGACGGGGUGGAGGAGCGGCACGGCGGGACGGGACCGGGCGUCGGAGCAGGAGCUGCUCCAGUCGUCCUGUGGGACGAACUGAGAGCCGCCGACUGAGGGAGAAAAAGAAUCGGGGUUCUGUGUUCAGGGAGCAGGCAUGUGUUUACCGGGCCAGUGGAUCCGCUGGGCGCUGAUGGUCCUCCGUAGUUCCGCCCCGUGGUGCAGGCAGCUCGACUCGUUCAGGCUCCGCUGGUCGACCGUGGUCCGGAUCAACCGCUGCUGCUGCUGCUGAGUCGAGUGAUUACUGAGAAACUACCCAGCUGACGUCCAUGACACUUUGUGGAGGUGGUGGGACCUGACACCCAGAGGAAGAACCCAUUACAUUUUGGAGUGGAUCCCAAUAAAUGGGCAAAGGAUUUUUGAUUGAUCCAAUCAGGAUGGUGACCAAUCAGCUGGUCGUGUACCUGCCGUGAGAUCCGAGUGCAGAGGAGCUGCUGCUGCUGCUUCGUCCUGUGGGGAAACUGCUGCACCAGAGGAUCCAACUGGAAGCAAAGAAAAACAGUAAAGUGAGAAAAAACCUCAGUCCAUCUGAGGUCAGUCUUCCUGUUGAAGGAAAACUAUACAGGUUGUAAAAGUCUUCCUGUCGAUUGACCCUUGACCUGUAGGUCAGGACUCACCUUUGUCUCCGGUCGUCUCUGCUGGUGGCCGCCGCCCCGCGGGACCCCCCCUCCCUCUGUCCGGCCCUGCGGCAGCAGCAGCUGGCGGACCUGCUCCACUACCCCCAGCUCCUGCAGCAGCUUCUUCCUCUGGAGCAGAGCAUCCAGUCGCCGCUGCUCCUCCACCUCCUCCACCUCCUCCACCUCCUCCUCCUCCUCCUCUCCUUCCUCUUCCUCCUGCUUCUCCUCUCGGACUUCUGCCCCCGACUCACCGGACACACGAGGCUGUGGAGGAAAAACAGAGACGCAUUAGAUUCAAUCUGUUGUCAUAGCCUUACUGUACAUGUAACCACAUGUCUGCAUUUCACUUCACAUAUUAGCAGUUACUGUCACGGGAAAAAAAUCAUUAAUAAACACUGUUUGUGUUUUCCCGCUGUGGAAAAAAAACUAAAACAUAUUGGAAUUUGAAAUGAGAGGCGGCCAAUAAAAGUUAUCAGCAGGAAUAUGUAUAUAUACAUUUCCUCUUGACUACUCGGGGUCAGGCAGGAUAUGAGCCAUCCGUCACGCGACGGAAGCCGUUUGUGGCGCCCUCUGGUGGCUUCACGCGGACACUACGACUCACCGGCUGUGGGUCGCGGUCAGAGUUUGGGACGCCGGGGGGCGGUUGUGUCGACGCCCGUCGUGGUUUGAACCUCUCCCCCGCCGUCUCCCCCUGCAGGUCCCUCCUCCGACCGUCCUUCUGCUCCCGCUGCUCCUGCUUCAGACGGAGAUCCUGCAGCUGCUGCCUGAGCACACAAGCACACAGGAAAUCCCAAAUGAAAUCAUUUUAGAUAAUCCUUACAAAGUAUCCCAAAGUAGGUCACAUUUUAUUUAUCAUUCAUGAGCACAAAUCAAACAUUUGAUCAAUGGUUUAUAACACACACCGAUGUAUUCAUAAACAAAUACUUUGUAGUGUUUAACAAUGUACAGGAUGUUCGAU